UUGGCGACUGUUUACCAAAAACACAAGUCUACGCAAAGUUGUAAGACCAUGUAUGGGGGCUGAUGCCUGCCCAGUGCCAGAAGGUCAGGGAAGUUGGUGACCUGAUGACAGGGGAGCCUAAGAUUGAAGCCCCGGUGAACGGCGACCGUCACUAUAACGAUCCCCACGGAGCAGUAGAAAAAUUCUUUAUCAGGUCAGUUCUGACCUUGGUCUAUCAGUCAA
rnacentral:ncRNA from 1 species